GAUGAACGCUGGCGGCGUGCCUAAUACAUGCAAGUCGAGCGAACAGACGAGGAUUUUGUUCCUCUGACGUUAGCCGCGGACGGGGGAGGAACACGUGGAUAACCUACCUAUAAGACUGAGAUAACUUCGAGAAACCGGAGCUAAGACCGGAUAAUAUAUUGAACCGCAUGGUGCAAUAGUGAAAGACGGUUGUUCUGUCACUGAUAGGUGGAUCCGCGCCGGAUUAGCUAGUUGGUAGGGUAAAGGCUUACCAAGGCGACGAGGCGGAGGCGACGUGGGGGGGGGAUCGGCGACACCGGAAUUGGGCCAGGGACCAGACGCCUACGGGAGGGAGCAGUAGGGAAUCUUACGCAAUGGGCGGAAGCCUGACGCAGCAGCGCCGAGUGAGUGAUGAAGGUCUUCGGCUCGUAAAACUCUGUUACUAGGGACGAACAAAUGUGUAAGUAACUAUGCACGUCUUGACGGUACCGGAUCAGAAAGCACCGGCUAACUACGUG
rnacentral:rRNA from 1 species